AUUGAACGCUGGCGGCAUGCUUUACACAUGCAAGUCGAACGGCAGCGCGGGCUUCGGCCUGGCGGCGAGUGGCGAACGGGUGAGUAAUGCAUCGGAACGUGCCCAGUAGUUGGGGAUAGCCCGGCGAAAGCCGGAUUAAUACCGCAUACGACCUGAGGGUGAAAGCGGGGGACCGAAAGGCCUCGCGCUAUUGGAGCGGCCGAUGUCGGAUUAGCUAGUUGGUGGGGUAAAGGCUUACCAAGGCGACGAUCCGUAGCUGGUCUGAGAGGACGACCAGCCACACUGGGACUGAGACACGGCCCAGACUCCUACGGGAGGCAGCAGUGGGGAAUUUUGGACAAUGGGGGCAACCCUGAUCCAGCCAUGCCGCGUGCGGGAAGUAGGCCUUCGGGUUGUAAACCGCUUUUGUUCGGGAAGAAAUCCUCUGGGCUAAUACCCCGGGGGGAUGACGGUACCGGAAGAAUAAGCACCGGCUAACUACGUG
rnacentral:rRNA from 1 species